rnacentral:lncRNA from 1 species
CAAAGAUGCUGCCGAGCUGCUGGUUUAAUUUGCCUUUUAGAGGCGUGUUAGGGAAGGCAUCUGGUUCCAAUCGUGCUGCCCCUUUGAAAGGCCGUUCUCAUUUGUCUGCAACUUCUCUGAAAGGUGAUCAGCCUGGGUGUUGGGAAAAUAUGAAAUCCAGAUCUUUGGAGCAUGCAGAGCAACAGGAGCGCCACCAGCAGCAACGCCUGUCGAUGAAAGCUGCUAAGCUGGAAUUGUUAGAAAAUGCAGGUCUGCAAGAGAGUGGCAGUCACUGGAGUGGGCCAGGCUUUUAUCCCAGCACCAUGGACUUGUGAUGGAAAUGCCAAAACCUCAGUGAAGAUGGACCCUGGGCACAGCUGAAGUUUCACAUUGUUCUUCUCUAGGCAAGACUGUCCUUGUGAUGCUUCUGUUCUCAGACUAAACAGUAAUGAUCCCUGCUUUGUAUCUGUCCAAAAUUCCUCCUAAAUUCAUUAUUGGGAGCCCACUAUGAUAAACAAGUAGGAAAAGAGUCUCACUGCAAUUCUUCUUUCUGCUGGGUCUUCACUUUCUGCCAUCACAAAAAGCAGCACAGAGCUCCAUUUGGAAUUUCUAGCCUGGGUUU